GACGUAGGGCGCGAGCGUUGUCCGGAUUUAUUGGGCGUAAAGAGCUCGUAGGCGGUUUGUCGCGUCUGCUGUGAAAACCUAAGGCUCAACCUCGGGCCUGCAGUGGGUACGGGCAGACUAGAGUGCGGUAGGGGAGAUUGGAAUUCCUGGUGUAGCGGUGGAAUGCGCAGAUAUCAGGAGGAACACCAAUGGCGAAGGCAGAUCUCUGGGCCGUAACUGACGCUGAGGAGCGAAAGCAUGGGGAGCGAACAGG
rnacentral:rRNA from 1 species